GAUAAACGCUGGCGGCGCACAUAAGACAUGCAAGUUGAACGGACUUAAUCGAAAUAUUUCUAUUUUGAAGCGGUUAGUGGCGGACUGGUGAGUAACGCGUAAGGAACCUGCCUAUUAGAGGGGAAUAACAGUGAGAAAUCAUUGCUAAUACCGCAUAUGCCAUAGAUAUCACAUGAUAACAGUGGGAAACGAGCAAUACUCUAAUAGAUGGCCUGGCGUCUGAUUAGAUAGUUGGUGGGGUAACGGCCUACCAAGUCGACGAUGCGUAGCCGGACUGAGAGGAUGAUCAGCCACACUGGAGCGGAGACACGGGCCCGACUCGUAAGGGAGGCACCAGUGGGGAAUAUUCGGGAAGGGGCGGAAGCCUAUACCAGGCAAACCAGGUGAGUGAAAAGGGGUUUCGGGUCGUAAAGCCCGUAUGUUUGGGGAGAAAAGCAGCAGGUUAAUACGGAGGUGUACUGACGGUACCCAAAGAAGAAGCACCGGCUAACUACGUG
rnacentral:rRNA from 1 species